ACGAACGCUGGCGGCGUGCUUAACACAUGCAAGUCGAACGAGAAUCUGCGGAAUGAGGAUUCGUCCAAGUGAAGCAGAGGACAGUGGCGGACGGGUGAGUAACGCAUGAGGAACCUGCCUUUCAGAGGGGGACAACAGUUGGAAACGACUGCUAAUACCGCAUGACACAUAGAUGUCGCAUGGCAUUUAUGUCAAAGAUUUAUCGCUGAAAGAUGGCCUCGCGUCUGAUUAGCUAGUUGGUGAGGUAACGGCCCACCAAGGCGACGAUCAGUAGCCGGACUGAGAGGUUGAACGGCCACAUUGGGACUGAGAUACGGCCCAGACUCCUACGGGAGGCAGCAGUGGGGAAUAUUGGGCAAUGGGCGCAAGCCUGACCCAGCAACGCCGCGUGAAGGAAGAAGGCUUUCGGGUUGUAAACUUCUUUUGUCAGGGACGAGCAGAAGACGGUACCUGACGAAUAAGCCACGGCUAACUACGUG
rnacentral:rRNA from 1 species